AAAAUACAAAGAAUAUAAACAGCAGCAUAGAAAGGAAAGGAAGUAUGUUUAAAAUAUAGAGAAGGCAACAUCUAAUCUUUAGAUCAUAUUGAAAGUUUUAUUUAAAUUAUUAUUUCCUAAUAGAUGGCUGUACAUUCCCAUUUACAUAACAUCAGCUUUUGGGUUUGUGAGUUCAUUCAAAUUUACAUUCAAACAUUACAUGUUCUACAGUUGUGGCUGAGAACUAUAAUCAAAGAAGAAGUAAAGCUUUUCCACUGAAAUAGUUAUUGGAGGAAUUGAUGAUUCCUGUGACUCUCAUUUGAAGUUAAUAAGUCAUAGGGACAUAUUUUCAAAGUCUUAAACUCCAAAUCACCUGGCUAAGCCACAAAGCUGAAACAGCCAACUGAAUGCCUGGGGCUGGCUGAGGCAUGGCUGGGAAGUCACUCUACAGAGGACUUGCUCCUGACUCUGUGCUGUCUCAGGAUUGCGGCGGCAGGGAUGGAGUGUCUGACCAGGGCUGAAGCAGACGUUGUGUUGCUGGUGGACGGAUCGUGGAGCCUCAGCUGGGCAAACUUCAGAACUGUGCGGAGUCUCAUUUCUCACAUUGUGGAAGUUUGCGAUUGGCCCCAAAAGGGUGCAGGUUGGUAGGUCUGACACUAUUGAAGACGUUUAGACAUUUCCAUCAUGCUCUUUGAUAUAUGCUAACGCCAAUAGUGUCUUUUUAGCUCAGUAUAGUGGGGACCCCAGAACAGAGUGGCAGUUAAACGCUCACAGAGACAAGAAGAGCUUGUUGCAAUCCAUGGUGAACUUACUUUACAAAGGCGCAGUACCCUCACAGGUGAGACAGAGUGGUCUGGCGUGCUUGGAGCUCUUGCUUUUGGUCAAAGCUUGUGGCUGAAUAAUAGUGUGCCAGAUGCUCUUUUAAAAAUUCCACUAGGCAUGGCUUUGAACUUUAUUUGCUAAUAGAGCUUCAAGACCCAAGCUGGCAUGAGGCCUCGAGCUCAAAAAAUUGGUGUUUUCAUCAGCGAUGGAAAAACCCCAAGAUGAUGUUGAGGCAAAGAAACUCAAGGAUGAAGGCAUGGAGCUGUUUGCUAUUGAUAUUAAAAAUGCUGACAAAGCUGAGUUAAAGAUGAUUGCAGCAGAUCCUGAUGGUACCCACGCAUACAGUGUGGCAGAUUUUGAGUCCUCUCCAGGAUCCUGGAUGACCUCACCAUCAACUUGUGGGGAGAUCCCGGUGACUUGAAAGCACCUUCUAACCUAGUCAUUGCUGAGCAAACCCAUCGUCUUUGAGAGUGAGCUGGAUACCUCCUUCUGACAGCAUGGACAGGUACGAAGUGGAGUCCUACCCAGGUUCUGAAGGGAAACGGCAAGAAGUGAGUGGACGCCCCCUACAGCCCCUCCUUCCCGGUCCAGAGAUCGGGUCCUCUUCCUUAGGACUCCAAGAACAGUGCUGGGUGAGGAGCAAGAGGGAUGGAGAGGGGGCCGAACUGAGUUGAGGGUGCUUUCCAUUUCUUGCUAGGCAGGCACUUCUAUUUGGGCUUCAUUAGUGGGAAAGAGCUUGGCUUAAAUUCUUGAAAUUUCUAAAGAUUGCAGAACAGCAAUGCAAUUUUUAAUUAAAAUUUUAUUAGAGGAUGCUUAAUUUAUUCAUGUGUUUAUACAAGAGUCAUAAGGAAGAGAACAUUGAAGAUGAUCUAGUUUUACUGAUACAUUUUACACAUAAGGAAACAGAACAGCAGCUGGGAGAAUAAAUUGUGUGAAAUGUCCAAGAUCUCACUGUAAUCUGGUGGUUACCAAAAACAAAAGACAAGGGCCUCAUUAAAAUCUAAUUUCUAAGCUCAUUGCAGUAACUACUACAAUGCGAUUAUAGUAGAAAAGAGGGAAGUGAUGAUAACAUAAGUUGCUUCUACUUUUUAACU